rnacentral:rRNA from 1 species
CCAAGGAGCCUAGCGUGUACGCAAGUCAUUCGGUGUUUGAACUCAAAACCAGAUUGGCGUAACGAAAGCAAUCAGUACAAUUUCACACAGAUUUUGUACCGCUACGAUGCACUGACUGAAUUCGUUCUGCAGUGUCGCAGUAGCAAUGCGGUAUCUUUAUGCCGUAUUAGAGCGUACACGGUAGUACCCGAAAGAUGGUGAUCUUUGCUUGAGCAGGACGAAGCCAAAGGAAACUUUGGUGGAAGUCUGUAGCAGUUUUGACGUGCAAAUCGAUUGUCAGACUCGAGUAAAGCGGCGAAAGACUCAUCGAACCAUCUAGUAGUUGGUUUCCUCCGAAAUUUCCCGCAGGAUAGCAAGCGCGUUACAAAUCAUUUCAACCUGUUACAGUCUCAAUAGAAGGUAACGGGGCGUUAAUUGACCUUGUCCUUUUCCUAAACUUGUUAAAUGGGUUGCAAAUUAAACUGCACGCUUGUCGCAUGCAGUGAUCAGCAUAGCUGGUGAAUGAUUUGCGCUUAGUGGGCCAUUUUUGGUAAGCAGAACUGGCGAUGUGGGAUGAACCGUACACAGAGUUAAAGUGCCUAAUUUUAAUACGCUAAGAAGAUCCCAUUAAAGAUGUUGUUCGCUUAAGACAGUAGGGCGGUGGCCAUGGAAGUCGGCAUCCGCUAAGGAGUGUGUAACAACUCACCUACCGAAGCGUUCAACUCUGAAAAUGGAUGGCGCUCAAGCGUUAUACUGAAACUCUGUCGUAGGUAGUAAAUCCUGUGCAAGGGUGUUUCGUGUCGUGUAUGUGUUGUGUGCAUGUACACGGUCACAAAGCACAUCAGACUCCUACGAGUAGGAGGAAUGCGGUGAUGGCGUCGAAGCUUUGCACGUAAGUGCGGGUGGAGCCGUUGCUGGUACAGAUCUUGGUGGUAGUAGCAAACAAACAAGUGACAACCUUGUUGACCGACGUGGAUAAGGGUUCCAUGUGAACAGUAAUUGGUCAUGGGUUAGUCGGUCCUGAGGGGCGCGGCGAAAGCCGUAUCGUAAGAAGCGUUCCUAGUCGAACGCGCCUCGAAAGGGAAUGAGGUUAACAUUCCUCAACCUUGCGUGUGGUAUCUUACUUUUGUAAGUGAAGCGGCAACGCGAUCGAGCCCAAAGACGUCAGCCGGAGUCCUGGGAAGAGAUAUCUUCUCUUUCGUAAGGUGUGCUGAGUGCCUUGAAACAGUUUAGCUGGAGACAGGCAUGUACGCACCGAAUUGCAGCGCGCUUCAUGUGCUGUGACAGAGCGCUCUGGUUGGCCCUUGAAAAUUUGGGUAAGUGAACUUUAGCCACCGCAAGACCGUACCUAGAUCCGCAACAGGUAUCCUAGGUGAACAGCCUCUGGUCUAUUAGAAUAAUGUAAGUAAGGGAAGUCGGCAAAAUUGAUCUGUAUCUUUGGUACAAAGAUUGGCUCUGACGAGUUUGCCGACUGGGUCGUGUUUAGUAAACGACGGAUGUGCGACGAUUUGCUCUGGUUGAUUCGCGUCGAUCGGGGCGAUCUCCUGCUGUCGUUGAAAAGUGCGAGUACGGUCGGCAAAUAAAACAAAUAGUCAGAACUAUCAUUGACUUUUCGGAAUCUGACUGUUUAAUUAAAACAUAGCAUUGAGAUGACUGGUGACCCAGUGUUGACUCAAUGUGAAUUCUGCCCAGUGCUCUGAAUGUCAACGUGUAGAAAUUCAAUGAAGCGCGGGUAAACGGCGGGAGUAACUAUGACUCUCUUAAGGUAGCCAAAUGCCUCGUCAUCUAAUUAGUGACGUGCAUGAAUGGAUUAACGAGAUUCCAUCUGUCCCUACUUACUAUCUAGCGAAACCACAGCCAAGGGAACGGGCUUGGCGAAAUCAGCGGGGAAAGAAGACCCUGUUGAGCUUGACUCUAGUCUGGCAUUGUGAGGAAACUGUAUCUGGUAUAGCAUAGGUGGGAGACAGCAGCAAUGUUGUCGUUAUAAACUGUAAAACCACCACAGUACAGCACCACUCACUGACUUAGUUAUGAGGCUUACCUUGUACUUCAACUUUGUUGUUAGUGCAAGGGAAACUUCGUGCAAAGCGCAUCAAGUCGAGAUGAGUGGAUUCGGGCUUUCGGGUUCGAAUUCACAACAUAACAUCACGUCGAGGCAUUAUCUAAGGACAGUGCCAGGCGGGGAGUUUGACUGGGGCGGUACAUCUAUCAAAUGCUAACGUAGGUGUCCUAAUGUUAGCUCAGUGAGACCAGAAAUCUCACGUAGAAUAUAAGGGUACAAGCUGGCUUGAUUCUGAAUAACAGUACGAUUGCGAGACAAGAAAUUGUGGCCUAACGAUCCUUUUGAGAAGCGAAAUACUAUCGAUGCAUAAUACAAGAGGUGUCAGAAAAGUUACCACAGGGAUAACUGGCUUGUGGCGGCCAAGCGUUCAUAGCGACGCCGCUUUUUGAUCCUUCGAUGUCU